UAGGGAAUCUUCCGCAAUGGGCGAAAGCCUGACGGAGCAACGCCGCGUGAGUGAUGAAGGUCUUCGGAUCGUAAAAAUCUGUUAUUAGGGAAGAACAAAUGUGUAAGUAACUAUGCACGUCUUGACGGUACCUAAUCAGAAAGCCACGGCUAACUACGUGCCAGCAGCCGCGGUAAUACGUAGGUGGCAAGCGUUAUCCGGAAUUAUUGGGCGUAAAGCGCGCGUAGGCGGUUUUUUAAGUCUGAUGUGAAAGCCCACGGCUCAACCGUGGAGGGUCAUUGGAAACUGGGAAACUUGAUUGCAGAAGAGGAAAGUGGAAUUCCAUGUGUAGCGGUGAAAUGCGCAGAGAUAUGGAGGAACACCAGUAGCGAAGGCGACUUUCUGGUCUGUAACUGACGCUGAUGUGCGAAAGCAUGGUGAUCAAACAGG
rnacentral:rRNA from 1 species